rnacentral:rRNA from 1 species
CGUAUCACCCAAGACAACUUUACGGAGUUGACGAUUGACGGAGCGAAGCGACGUCAAAGCGUUCAUUAAAGUCGAGUUGGCUUAGGGAUACGUUCGUUGGGUAGGGGAGCGUUCUGUAAGCCUGUGAAGGUGUGUCGUGAGGCAUGCUGGAGGUAUCAGAAGUGCGAAUGCUGACAUAAGUAACGAUAAAGCGGGUGAAAAGCCCGCUCGCCGGAAGACCAAGGGUUCCUGUCCAACGUUAAUCGGGGCAGGGUGAGUCGACCCCUAAGGCGAGGCCGAAAGGCGUAGUCGAUGGGAAACGGGUUAAUAUUCCCGUACUUGGUGUUACUGCGAAGGGGGGACGGAGAAGGCUAUGUUGGCCGGGCGACGGUUGUCCCGGUUUAAGCGUGUAGGUGUGUGUUCCAGGUAAAUCCGGUUCACUUUAACACUGAGGCGUGACGACGAGGCACUACGGUGCUGAAGCAACAAAUGCCCUGCUUCCAGGAAAAGCCUCUAAGCAUCAGGUAACAUCAAAUCGUACCCCAAACCGACACAGGUGGUCAGGUAGAGAAUACCAAGGCGCUUGAGAGAACUCGGGUGAAGGAACUAGGCAAAAUGGUGCCGUAACUUCGGGAGAAGGCACGCUGACACGUAGGUGAAGUGAUUUACUCAUGGAGCUGAAGUCAGUCGAAGAUACCAGCUGGCUGCAACUGUUUAUUAAAAACACAGCACUGUGCAAACACGAAAGUGGACGUAUACGGUGUGACGCCUGCCCGGUGCCGGAAGGUUAAUUGAUGGGGUCAGCGCAAGCGAAGCUCCUGAUCGAAGCCCCGGUAAACGGCGGCCGUAACUAUAACGGUCCUAAGGUAGCGAAAUUCCUUGUCGGGUAAGUUCCGACCUGCACGAAUGGCGUAAUGAUGGCCAGGCUGUCUCCACCCGAGACUCAGUGAAAUUGAACUCGCUGUGAAGAUGCAGUGUACCCGCGGCAAGACGGAAAGACCCCGUGAACCUUUACUAUAGCUUGACACUGAACAUUGAGCCUUGAUGUGUAGGAUAGGUGGGAGGCUUUGAAGUGUGGACGCCAGUCUGCAUGGAGCCGACCUUGAAAUACCACCCUUUAAUGUUUGAUGUUCUAACGUGGACCCGUAAUCCGGGUUGCGGACAGUGUCUGGUGGGUAGUUUGACUGGGGCGGUCUCCUCCUAAAGAGUAACGGAGGAGCACGAAGGUUGGCUAAUCCUGGUCGGACAUCAGGAGGUUAGUGCAAUGGCAUAAGCCAGCUUGACUGCGAGCGUGACGGCGCGAGCAGGUGCGAAAGCAGGUCAUAGUGAUCCGG